rnacentral:rRNA from 1 species
CUACGGGCUGCAGCAGUGGGGGAUAUUGCACAAUGGGCGCAAGCCUGAUGCAGCAACGCCGCGUGAGGGAUGAAGGCCUUCGGGUUGUAAACCUCUUUUAGCAGGGAAGAAGCGAAAGUGACGGUACCUGCAGAAAAAGCACCGGCUAACUACGUGCCAGCAGCCGCGGUAAUACGUAGGGUGCAAGCGUUGUCCGGAAUUAUUGGGCGUAAAGAGCUCGUAGGCGGUUUGUCACGUCUGCUGUGAAAAUCCAAGGCUCAACCUUGGACUUGCAGUGGGUACGGGCAGGCUAGAGUGCGGUAGGGGAGAUGGGAAUUCCUGGUGUAGCGGUGGAAUGCGCAGAUAUCAGGAGGAACACCAAUGGCGAAGGCACAUCUCUGGGCCGUAACUGACGCUGAGGAGCGAAAGCGUGGGGAGCGAACAGGAUUAGAUACCCCGGUAGUC